UACGUAGGGUGCGAGCGUUGUCCGGAAUUAUUGGGCGUAAAGAGCUCGUAGGCGGUUUGUUGCGUCGGCCGUGAAAACCUGCAGCUUAACUGUGGGCCUGCGGCCGAUACGGGCAGACUUGGAGUUCGGUAGGGGAGACUGGAAUUCCUGGUGUAGCGGUGGAAUGCGCAGAUAUCAGGAGGAAUACCCAUAGCGAAGGCAGCUCGCUGGGACGUUACUGACGCUGAGGCGCGAAAGCGUGGGGAGCGAACAGG
rnacentral:rRNA from 1 species